AACAGGAUGUGUGGAGGAGUGGAACGCAAACUGCCAAAUAAAUCUAGCUGUAUUACAGAUGAAUCACAUGAUCACACUAAAGGACAUGAGGAAGAAAGGAGCUGACUUAAGUAACUUUGAUCCAGCUCUGAAGAAAUUAAAUACAAGGCGCAGUGGCCAGAGCUCCAGCAACCAUCUUGGACAAUGAAAAAACCUUCACAAUGAUAGCCAUGGCGAAACACAGUGGAGUAGGAAGAUAAAAGAGACUGAGAACCGGAUAACCACG
rnacentral:lncRNA from 1 species